CGGAUCGGCCGGGCACAGGCGCGCGGGAGCCGGGAGCGGGGAAUCGGGGUUCUCGCCGGUUCUCCUCGCAGUUCAGGAGCCAAGGAGGGAAGCGACUGAGAAGAGGGUAAGAGCUGGAGCCGGAGAAAUCUGCUCCUCUGUUUUUAAAGCUUGGGGCCUCUAGGCGCGGACUUCUACCUCCCUCAGGAAUUUCCGGCCCUCGGCCUGGGGGUCCCCGCCGCCAGGUCGGUCACUGGGGGAGGUGGUAGAAGGUUUUUGUUUUGCUUUGUCUUUGUAACGCUGGGGAGGGCCUCACGCAGGCCAGACAGACGCUCUGCCACUAGGCCACCUUCCCAGUCCGAUGGCAAUGUUUUUGGUCCGUAUUACUGCUUAAUAACCAGGUUACUUCCGGCUAACACACCGUUCUCUGUUUCAGCCACAGAGCGAUUCAGCCUUGAACAGAACACCAGGCCGGCGUACUUCAAAAGAGGGGACCGGGACGGAAGCGACGCAAUGACCACUACAAGGUCCUGGUCCCUGCAGGCUGCCCCCGCCCGGAAGCACAGGUGGGCUACAGCAAGUUCCUGCCUCCGACUUCACAGUGGUUCCGAAUUGGCAGAAGAACACAGCACACAAGAUCGGGAUCCUGCCGGCACCUGGUGGCUCACGCCUAGAAUCCCACCUGCUCCGAAGGCCGAGGCAGGAGGAUCGCGAGUUCAAAUUGGCCUGCGCAGGUCAGUGUGACUGUUUCAAAAUAGAUUUUAAACAUACACAGAGCCGGGGACACGGCUGAGCAGUUGAACACACUCCCCC
rnacentral:lncRNA from 1 species